rnacentral:rRNA from 1 species
CAGUCGCCGCGGUAAUACGUAGGGUCCGAGCGUUGUCCGGAAUUAUUGGGCGUAAAGAGCUCGUAGGCGGUUCGUCGCGUCUGCCGUGAAGUCCUCAGGCUCAACCUGAGGCGUGCGGUGGGUACGGGCGGACUAGAGUGCGGUAGGGGAGAAUGGAACUCCUGGUGUAGCGGUGGAAUGCGCAGAUAUCAGGAAGAACACCGAUGGCGAAGGCAGUUCUCUGGGCCGUAACUGACGCUGAGGAGCGAAAGCGUGGGGAGCGAACAGGAUUAGAUACCCCCGUAGUCCCUGUCUCUUAUAC